UUCUCUCAGCAUGUGGCUGUGUAUUGUUCAUACCGUUGGCUGGUAUUCUAUUGAAGGCCACGUUCUGCGUUAUGUUUGUGGUGUGAACUGGUAUGACACUCACCGUGUUUAUAUAAAAAUAAAUUCUUUCCUCGAAAUGUCCAUCUCUCAUGGGCACAGUUUUCUAACUGAGGUCUGGAGGAGGGGCAUAGAGGGAGGAGCCAGUUCACACCCAGUUUAUGGGGUAUAUGCAAUUCCGGACGAAUUGCACCUUUUUUUCGUCCGUUUUAAAAUUCGCCUGUACUCGACAGCCGCAGCCCUGCCGCCGGGACCAUGAAUUCACCAUAUGCAAUACAAAACGCAUUUGACACUCCCCUUGGCGGAUAACGGACCAAUCGGCGAGUAGUGGGCGUCCUGAAUUCGACUUCCCGCCGUUUGCAGCCCUUUAUUAGGGCUUGUUUGCUGCGUGCUCAGCAGCCAUAUUGUGAACCUGCAGAGAGGUGUGAGGAGGUGCAGAGCUAGCAAAUUGGUUGUUUGCUGUGGUAUCGUUUGGACACCCAGCAGGCUUUAAUUCAGGACAGACAGGAGGAUACCCGUUACCCCGGAGGAGAGUCGUUUUUGGAGCUAUUUCUACAUUUUUAGGUAAGUACCACAUGUGGGUCUGGUGUCGCAUGUAUGCGUUUGUGUAGUGGGGGUUGCCAUGAGGUGUACAUGGGGUGUUUGGGGUAUGUAUUUGGGGUGUUUGGGGUAUGUAUAUAUAUAUAUGUGUGCAGUUAUGUGCAUAGCUCCUGCUUGUAUUGCUGCAUUUUUUGGAGGAGUUUUGUGUUUUGGGGUAGUUUUUCACGUUUUUUUUUUUCUUUCUUAAAAUUACUUUUUGGGUCAUGCUUUUGCAUUGGUGUACCUCCAGCAUGUGCAGGGAUGUUUUUUGUCUUGUUUGGGCUGAUUUUAGUGCGUGUCGGUAUCAAUGUGGUCGACAUGUGAUGUUGUUUGUUUGCUAAAACAGGUUUUUUACCUCCUAUUUUAGCACUGGUGUACCUCCAGAAUGUGCAGGGAUGCUUUUUGGCUAGUUUGGGGUGAUUUGGAGCAAGUUUGUGUCAGCCAUGCGGUCGACAUGUCGUGUCGUUUGUUUGCCAAACAUGUUUAUUUGCUCCUAUAUUAGCACUGGUGUACCUCCAGCAUGUGCAGGGAUGCUUUUUGUCUUGUUUUGGCUGAUUUUAGUGUGUGUCGGUAUCAAUGUGGUCGACGUGAUGUCGUUUGUUUGAUAAAACAGGUUUUUUUACCUCCUAUUUUAGCACUGGUGUACCUCCAGAGUGUGCAGGGAUGCUUUUUGGCUUGUUUGGGGUGAAUUGGAGCAAGUUUGUGUCAGUCAUGCGGUCGACAUGUCGUGUCGUUUGUUUGCCAAACAUGUUUUUUCCCUCCUAUUUUAGCACUGGUGUACCUCCAGCAUGUGCAGGGAUGCUUUUUGUCUUGUUUGGGCUGAUUUUAGUGUGUGUCGGUAUCAAUGUGGUCGACAUGUGAUGUCGUUUGUUUGAUAAAACAGGUUUUUUACCUCCUAUUUUAGCACUGGUGUACCUCCAGAGUGUGCAGGGAUGCUUUUUGGCUUGUUUGGGGUGACUUGGAGCAAGUUUGUGUCAGCCAUGCGGUCGACAUGUCGUGUCGUUUGUUUGCCAAACAUGUUUUUUCCCUCCUAUUUUAGCACUGGUGUACCUCCAGAGUGUGCAGGGAUGCUUUUUGACUUGUUUGGGGUGACUGUGUCAGCCAUUUUGUUUGUGUCAGCCAUUUUGUGUUUGCACUGGUUGACCUCCAGUAUGUGCAGGGAUGCUUGUACGGGGGUUUUGGCUUAUUUUGCAUUUUUUUUUUCUAUUCUUUUUUUAUUAUUAUUAUUUUGUGUGUGUUUGGUCCUGCUUGAGAACUGGGGUCCCAGCAGCAUGACGUGUGGUUGCAUGUAAUUUUGUAAUGUGUGUUAAAUUUGUAAACAUAUAUAUUUUUUUCUUUUUACAACAGAGAUGUCCAGGGAUAAGCGGGCCCGAUCCCCCCCUUCCCCCCACCCCUCAGAAGAUCUUUACCUGCAUAGCAACGAGGAGUGGGAGCAGACCCAGGAGGAGGAUACGACCGACCAGGCAUGCAGUGACCAGCCGCGGUAGUCAAGGGACCAAAUGGAGAAGUCAAAGAAAAAGAAAAAGCGUAGACAGGCAAGAAGCCAGCCAGAGGAGCAGUCGGAGGAGGAAGCCUCUGGUGAAGAUGCAGGACCGAAGAAGCCGCGUGGACCCAGAUACACUAAGGCGGAAAACUGUGCCCUAGUGGAUGGCGUCGACAGGUCCUACGACGUUCUGUAUGGAUCAAGGGCACAGACCACAGCAGCUAAGACCAAGCGAAACAUCUGGAAUGCCAUCGCGAGACAAGUCACUGCAGUAUCUGGAAACCGCAGGAGCACCAGAAACUGCAUGAAGCGGUACAGUGAUUGCCGCAGACAGACCAAGAAGAAGAUGGGGAUUCAGCGCUGACAUGAGACCGCUACGGGAGGUGGUCCGGCUCUCAAUCUGAAGUGGCUACCCUGGGAGAACGUUAUCAAAAGGCGCAUGAACCCUGCCAUGGUCGAAGGAGUUUGCGGAGGUGUGGACUCUAGCCGUCCUGCUGGCUUUCCCGAGGAGGAAGAACCGCCCAGAAGACGGAAGACGGCGGGAGACAAGCAGUCCAAAAGGAGGCCUGAUGACACGCCUGCCCAGAGGACAUCACCUGCGCGCAGGACAUCGCCAGCGCGCGGACCAUCACCUGCGCAGCAGGCAUCGGCAGCAGCGCGCGGACCAUCACCUGCGCAGCAAGCAUCGGGAGCGCGCAGAUCAUCACCUGCGCGCCACACAUCGUCAUCGCGCAGUAAGUCACCUGCGCGCCAGACAUCAGCGCACAGAACGCCAGACACCGUCGGCGACCACACCACCAGAUGGGCGCCAAACUACAGCUCCUGCGCGCAGGCCAUCACCAGAUCGUCAUCUCUCCAGGAGCUCUGGGACUGUGUACCUUUGUGGACCCAUCACCCGAACUGUUUGAGUCUACAGGGUUAACGGACGAGACUUUUUUUGGGUUUGAAGACAGCCGUGCAGACGUAUCCAGCCAGACCCUUGAAAAGUCUCCAGAAUUGAGGACAAGUGAAGCUCCUGGAGCAGCGGCACCACAGGAUGGAGAAGAGGUGCCACGGACCAGCAGAGGACUUGCGUCGGGGAUUGGUUCCUACUACAGGCCGGAUCUCAUACAGGAUUCGUCAGAUGAUGACGAGGUGGAAGUGCAGCAGCCUGCUGUUUCUACAUCCCUGUGUGAGUAAAUAUCGAAUUG